rnacentral:sRNA from 1 species
GCCAGGUGUGGUGGCACACGCCUGUAAUCCCAGCAGCUUGGGAGGCUGAGACAGGAGGAUCUCAAGUUCAAAGCCUGCCUCAGCAACUUCAAGGCACUAAGUAAUUCAGUGAGACCCUGUCUCUA